GCAAAUGAUGACCUCUAGAGGACGCUACCAAUCUAUCCACUAAAUCUUAAUUUGGCGUAUAUUUCAGGCAUUGCCAGUAGAUGUCGUGUUCGCACUAAUAAGCGCAGCAGGUGUUCAAAUUGUAGUGGCCUGCAAAUGUUAGUGGAACGCAGCACUUUUGCGCAUGCCCCAAAAGUACCAACAAAGUUGACAUUAACCCUAGAGGUAAAAACGCAUGUCAUAUCUCCAUGAAUUGCCAUUUAAUCACUCUUUUGGUAAAAAUCAAAUAAAAUCGGCCUUUCAAGGCUAGAAUACCCAAAUGUAUUCUUGGUUUAUGUGGUAUUUCAAUAAUCAAUAGCCUAUAUACUCACCAGUAGAGCGAUCAGAAAAGACACACAAAUACUAAUUUUCUUAAUAAUAUUAAGACCCUUCGCUUCAAUCAUUUCGCUUUCUGAGCAAUUUACCAAAUCUUAAAAACACAGGGGUCAUGUCUCGCCAGGAAGGCUCUGAUUUACGUCACACCUGUCCGUCAUCACCGGCAGUAUAAAGGAUGAGGGUGCCGUACCGGUGUUGAUAUCUCAUUUGCACAGAGACUGACUGGUGAGUGCGGCUCUUUUUUCACCCCUCUGCAACGGCUAGCCAAAUAAAGAGGAGCAUCGCAAAAUGUCUGGAGUAACUGUCUGCCAACUCGGAGUGUUUCUCCUCUUUCUGUGUUUGUCAGCACAGGUCGUCGCGCAGACGACACCUACGGAGAUGCCGGUGGCUACAACUACCAACUAUACUAUGACUAUGAACGCCUCUGCCGUCACACACAGUUACACCAACGUGACCACGCCUAAAUCUGCCGUGAGCCCACUAAACCCAACCGGCGUGUCCCUGCUCCUUAUCGUCGCCAUGGUUACGUCUAUGCUGCAACGUUUCUUGUAAUGUCACACUUUCUACGUCCCCGCGCACACCUUUCGUAAAACAGAAGAUGCAAUAUUGUACUGAAACUCAGCUGCAAAUUCCUGAAGUUGGUUCAUUAAGGUCGACGAAGUUGCUUAUAAACGGACUCCGGACUCCCGAAUAUAAAUUGAAGGAUCUCUCCCCUGACUUGGACUACGGUCUACACCAUAGGGAUGGGCGCAAGUCAUUUGUUUUGGGCCGGUUUUCAAAUGUUUUUGCCGUUUUUGGAAACUGUUGGUAAAUGCUUAAAGUUUCGUUUGUUCCAAAGCUGUCAGUCGUGCUUGUGGGGGCUUUUCUGCUGUAAAAAAAAAAAAGGCUGUGAGUGUGCCACUGCUUUACAUGUGGGAGGGGCUGAGGGUAUGCUUCUUUGUAAACAAUAGUUUAUAUUUUGUACGAAAUGCAAAACUUGUUUUAAUUGUUAGUUGGAUUAAAAGAAGUUGUAAUUAGAAUGGUCAAUAAAUGGAAGGAAAAAUAUUUGUGUCUGGUCUGAGUUGGAUGGGUUGGGUUGUAAAGGAAAAGCACCCGUUGGUUAGCUUCAGUAUAUUUUUCCAUGUUCCAUCGUAGUGAUUGAACUAUCAAG
ensembl:lncRNA